UGGUAGCCUCACUAUCAUUUUUCUGAAACAAAGUAGAAGCUUUGUUAACAUCAUCCCUUGAAGCAUGCUACAAAAAUGAAUUAUUCUGUCUUGACAUCUUUCUGAUAUCUAUGGUCUCAAAUCAUUUCGACAUCAAUUUAAUAAAAUUUGCACCACCAAAAAGUAGCAGAAGAACCUAAACAUUCAAUUAGUUGGAUCUUCCUGCCAAUUGAUA
rnacentral:misc_RNA from 1 species